CCUACGGUGGCUGCAGUGGGGAAUAUUGGACAAUGGGCGAAAGCCUGAUCCAGCCAUGCCGCGUGUGUGAAGAAGGCCUUCGGGUUGUAAAGCACUUUCAGUGGGGAAGAAAGCCUUGGGGCUAAUACCCUCGAGGAAGGACAUCACCCACAGAAGAAGCACCGGCUAACUCCGUGCCAGCAGCCGCGGUAAUACGGAGGGUGCGAGCGUUAAUCGGAAUUACUGGGCGUAAAGCGCGCGUAGGCGGUCUGAUAAGCCGGUUGUGAAAGCCCCGGGCUCAACCUGGGAACGGCAUCCGGAACUGUCAGGCUAGAGUGCAGGAGAGGAAGGUAGAAUUCCCGGUGUAGCGGUGAAAUGCGUAGAGAUCGGGAGGAAUACCAGUGGCGAAGGCGGCCUUCUGGACUGACACUGACGCUGAGGUGCGAAAGCGUGGGUAGCAAACAGGAUUAGAUACCCCUGUAGUC
rnacentral:rRNA from 1 species